GUUUUAAUAGUUUAAAAAAAAUAUUAUUUUGUGGAAAUAAAGAUAUAGGUAAUUUAAAACA
rnacentral:tRNA from 1 species